rnacentral:rRNA from 1 species
UACAGAGGGUGCGAGCGUUAAUCGGAAUUACUGGGCGUAAAGCGUGCGUAGGUGGCGCUCCAAGUCCGUGGUGAAAGCUCGAUGCUCAACAUCGAGUCGGCCACGGAGACUGGAGGGCUCGAGCACUGUAGGGGCAGAUGGAAUUCCGGGUGUAGCGGUGGAAUGCGUAGAGAUCCGGAAGAACACCGGUGGCGAAGGCGGUCUGCUGGGCAGUAGCUGACACUGAUGCGCGACAGCGUGGGGAGCAAACAGG